rnacentral:rRNA from 1 species
GACGAACGCUGGCGGCGUGCUUAAUACAUGCAAGUCGAGCGAGGCCCAUCCAGUGGCAACACUGGGGAAGGCCGAGCGGCGAACGGGUGAGUAACACGUGAGCAACCUGCCCCGAAGUCUGGAAUAACAUCGGGAAACCGGUGCUAAUACCGGAUUGCCCCACCUGACCGCAUGAUCGGGUGAGGAAAGAUUUAUCGCUUCGGGAGGGGCUCGCGGCCUAUCAGCUAGUUGGCGGGGUAACGGCCCACCAAGGCGUCGACGGGUAGCUGGUCUGAGAGGACGACCAGCCACACUGGGACUGAGACACGGCCCAGACUCCUACGGGAGGCAGCAGUAGGGAAUCUUGCGCAAUGGGCGAAAGCCUGACGCAGCAACGCCGCGUGGGGAUGACGGCCU